GAGAUGUUAACUUAAGUAUAAAGUGUUAGAUUUUUAAUCUAAAAAUGUUUUUACACGUCUUA
rnacentral:tRNA from 1 species